GACUGGGUCCUGCUGGGCUCGCCAGCCCUUGGGAAGGAGCCUGGGGUCUGAGAGAAGCUGGACGGCUCAGCUCGCGUUGUGGAGUGUCAAUGCUCAGGGUGAUCUGGGGAGCCACAUGUGAAGUGGUGGAGCCCCUGCCGGCCAAACGCUGCCCUUCAUUGCCUGCUCCCUACAGGCCUGCAUGGACCGGGACGUGUUGAAUAGAACCAUCGACGUGGACAGCCCUUCUGUUAUUUCGUUAAACAUUCCGUCUGCCCCACAACACACACGUAA